AUGCAGCGACGCCGCGUGAGGGAUGACGGCCUUCGGGUUGUAAACCUCUUUCAGCAGGGAAGAAGCGCAAGUGACGGUACCUGCAGAAGAAGCACCGGCUAACUACGUGCCAGCAGCCGCGGUAAUACGUAGGGUGCGAGCGUUGUCCGGAAUUAUUGGGCGUAAAGAGCUCGUAGGCGGCCUGUCGCGUCGGAUGUGAAAGCCCGGGGCUUAACCCCGGGUCUGCAUUCGAUACGGGCAGGCUAGAGUGUGGUAGGGGAGAUCGGAAUUCCUGGUGUAGCGGUGAAAUGCGCAGAUAUCAGGAGGAACACCGGUGGCGAAGGCGGAUCUCUGGGCCAUUACUGACGCUGAGGAGCGAAAGCGUGGGGAGCGAACAGGAUUAGAUACCCUGGUAGUCCACGCCGUAAACGUUGGGAACUAGGUGUUGGCGACAUUCCACGUCGUCGGUGCCGCAGCUAACGCAUUAAGUUCCCCGCCUGGGGGAGUACGGCCGCAAGGCUAAAACUCAAAGGAAUUGACGGGGGGCCCGCACAAGCAGCCGGAGCAUGUGGCUUAAUUCGACGCAACGCCGAAGAACCUUACCAAAGGCUUGACAUACACCCGGAAACUGGUAAAAAAUAUCAGCCCCCUUUGUGGUCGGGGUACAAGUGGUGGCAUGGGUUGUCCUCCAGCUCCUGGUCUCUGGAAAUGUUGGGGUUAAAUUCCCCCCAACCAAGCCCCAACCCCUUUGUUCCCG
rnacentral:rRNA from 1 species